rnacentral:snRNA from 1 species
GUGCUCACUUUGGCAGCACAUAUACUAAAAUUGGAACGAUACAGAGAAGAUUAGCACGGCCCCUGAGCAAGGAUGACAUGCAAAUUCAUGAAGCAUUCCACAUUUGG